rnacentral:rRNA from 1 species
UACGUAGGUGGCAAGCGUUAUCCGGAAUUAUUGGGCGUAAAGCGCGCGCAGGUGGUUUCUUAAGUCUGAUGUGAAAGCCCACGGCUCAACCGUGGAGGGUCAUUGGAAACUGGGAGACUUGAGUGCAGAAGAGGAAAGUGGAAUUCCGGGUGUAGUGGUGAAAUGCGUAGAGAUCCGGAGGAACCCCAGAGGCGAAGGCGGCAUUCUGGCUCGCAACUGACGCUCAGACACGACAGCAUGGGGAGCGAACGGG